UACGGGGGGGGCAAGCGUUGUUCGGAAUUACUGGGCGUAAAAGGCUCGUAGGCGGCCAACUAAGUCAGACGUGAAAUCCCUCGGCUUAACCGGGGAACUGCGUCUGAUACUGGAUGGCUUGAGUGUGGGAGAGGGAUGCGGAAUUCCAGGUGUAGCGGUGAAAUGCGUAGAUAUCUGGAGGAACACCGGUGGCGAAGGCGGCAUCCUGGACCAUUACUGACGCUGAUGAGCGAAAGCCAGGGGAGCAAACGGG
rnacentral:rRNA from 1 species